rnacentral:rRNA from 1 species
GACGAACGCUGGCGGCGUGCUUAACACAUGCAAGUCGAACGGAGAGGCCCUGCUUUUGUGGGGUGCUCGAGUGGCGAACGGGUGAGUAACACGUGAGUAGCCUGCCCUUGACUUUGGGAUAACUUCAGGAAACUGGGGCUAAUACCGGAUAGGAGCUCCUGCUGCAUGGUGGGGGUUGGAAAGUUUCGGCGGUUGGGGAUGGACUCGCGGCUUAUCAGCUUGUUGGUGGGGUAGUGGCUUACCAAGGCUUUGACGGGUAGCCGGCCUGAGAGGGUGACCGGCCACAUUGGGACUGAGAUACGGCCCAGACUCCUACGGGAGGCAGCAGUGGGGAAUAUUGCACAAUGGGCGGAAGCCUGAUGCAGCAACGCCGCGUGCGGGAUGACGGCCUUCGGGUUGUAAACCGCUUUCGCCUGUGACGAAGCGUGAGUGACGGUAAUGGGUAAAGAAGCACCGGCUAACUACGUG